rnacentral:rRNA from 1 species
AGAAUCAACGCUGGCGGCGUGCCUAACACAUGCAAGUCGAACGCGAAGACCCCGCAAGGGGUUGGUAGCGUGGCAAACGGGUGAGUAACACGUGGGCGACCUACCUCAGAGUGGGGGAUAACCUUCCGAAAGGAAGGCUAAUACCGCAUGACAUCCCAUGUUUGGAUACAUGGACAUCAAAGCCGGGGAUCGCAAGACCUGGCGCUUGGAGAGGGGCCCGCGUCCGAUUAGCUAGUUGGUGAGGUAACGGCUCACCAAGGCUCCGAUCGGUA